ensembl:lncRNA
CCGUCAAACUCAGGGUUUAUUGUAAAACACACGGUAAUGGGGGGGGAGCAGGAAAAGGGGCUGAGCUGGACCCAAGGAAAGAAACAAGUAUUCAAAAGCACCCCUAAGCUAGACUAGCCUACUUUAACAACAGCUAACUAACCAAAGAUACAGUGGGUGGUCCGCCCAGUUCUAACUAGUGUAUUUAACAAAGUUUACCUACGGGUAGUGUAUGCUCAUGGGCGACUUGUCUUGGUUUCCCCUUUUCCCACCAGCAAACAAACAAACACCAUAACCAAAAACAAUACUCACAGGAGAUGACAAAGUGAUUUGGAGGUGCUCAAACAAAAGAGAGGUUAAGACACAAAGAGAGAGUGAAACACAGAGACCUACAGACAUGGCAUUUACAGAGAGAUUGAGCUCUAGAGCAAACAACUGACAGGGUUUUUAAACCAGGGGGAAGGAACUGUGAUAGGGUAGGAAACAGGAGGAGGUGUGUUUUCUGAUUGAUGAUUGAUUGUUGACUGAUUGGGGAGUGAUGAUUUUCACCUGUGAGGGGAGAAGGAGAGAAAAGAACACAGGAUACACACACACACAGGAUACCUGUAUCCGUAACAGUGAGUAUAACAGAAAUGAUGUUGCAGGCAAAAGCCUGAGAAGAAUCCAAUCCGGAAGUGCCUCAUCUAUUGAAAGCGCUGUGUUCCAAUGCGUCCCUAUUGAGCAGUGAAUGGGCUGUCAACCAGGUUACUUUUUCUCCGUAUUCUACAGCAUUGUGACGUAGUUUUACGCAUUUCUGUUGAAGAAUAGCGGUAGGCGGCUACAUUGCGCAAGUGGUCACCUGAUGCUGCCAGAGAGAUUCUCACGUAAAAUACAGAGGUAGCCAUUACUCCAAUCGGUCCUACUGAAAAACGAAUUGUCCCGAUGGAUAUAUUAUCGAAUAGAUAUUUGAAAAACACAUUGAAGUUUGAUUAUAAACAACGUUUGCCAAGUUUCUGUCGAUAUUAUGGAGCUAAUUUGGAAUAUUUUUUGCCAUUUUCGUGACUGCAAUUUCCGGGCGAUUUCUCAGCCAAACGUGAAGAACAAACGGAGCUAUUUCGCCAACAAAAAUAAUCUUUUUGGAAAAAAGGAACAUUUGCUAGCUAACUGGGAGUCUCGUGAGUGAAAACAUCCGAAGCUCAUCAAAGUUCAAAUAUUUAAUUUGAUUGCUUUUCUGAUUACCGUGACCAAGUUACCUGCUGCUAGCUGGACAAAAUGCUGUGCUAGGCUAUCGAUAAACUUACACAAAUGCUUGUCUAGCUUUGGCUGUAAAGCAUAUUUUGAAAAUUGAGAUGACAGGGUGAUUAACAAAAGGCUAAGCUGUGUCUCAAUAUAUUUCAUUUGUGAUUUUCAUGAAUAGGAAUAUUUUCUAGGGAUAUUUAUGUCUGUUGCGUUAUGCUAAUUAGUGUCAGGCGAUGAUUACGCUCCCGCAUGCGGGAUGGGGAGUCAGUAGAGGUGUUACAGGUUGUCGGUCAACCUACCAGGGUAUUUUGAAGAACAAAUAUUUACUGGUCUGUUAUGUGUAAUGAGAAGCUUAAUGAUGGUAAAAAGCGAGUGUGGAAGAGGUGAAGAAUGUAUUGUUGUCUAUCAACAAUGACAAGCCACCGGGGUCUGACAACUUGAAUAGCUAGAUACUGAGGAGAGCCAAGAUGGAGGCUCGGUGGCUUCAACACAAUGGUGGGGGAGAGCCAAGAUGGAGGCUCGGUGGCUUCAACACAAUGGUGGGGGAGAGCCAAGAUGGAGGCUCGGUGGCUUCAACACAACGGUGGGGGAGAGCCAAGAUGGAGGCUCAGUUGCUUCAACACAAUGGUGGGGGAGAGCCAAAAUGGAGGCUCGGUGGCUUCACCGUCAUCUAGUGGAAAUAUAAAUUGGUGGCAAAAAAUAAAUAAAUCUACAUUCUUGUGUAUUUUCUAAAUUAACACCUAAUAUAUAUUAUCCAUGUUUCAAAAUGGCAGGUAGACUACACCUCAAUAGCUGCAGAAUGUAUUCUCAACUACAACUAAAUGAUCCAACUUUUACAUGAAAAACGCCACAUUAGCAUUGAUAUGAAAUCAUUCAAAAUACCUCAAAACAAUACAUGGUAUUAAAAACAAGAUGAAAUGAGCUGAAACGAGACAUUUACAAUUCCCACCAUUACAGUUUCUUAUCAUUCUUGCCAUCUAGGAUCACAACAACAACAUGCUGAAACCUGCCUGGUGGAAACCUACACAUCAUUUUCAUGACGUUGUCAGCUAACACGUUUAUUUAAACUCUCGUCAUUCUGCCCUGUCCAUUUCGCCAAACAUGUGCUGCGUUCACGUGCUAGUCAGAACUUGGAAACUCAGAAAUGUUUGACUUGCUAACUGCUUCAACUAUAACCAGUUAGCAAGUUGGAAAUGUCAGUGUUUCCUAGUUCCUACUUGUACAUGAACUUGGCAUUGGGCCACAGACCUGGGUGCUGGUCCAUGUCAGGAAUGAUUGGAUCCUGGGUAAAGUCUUAAACAAUGGAUGUUGUAAUUCAUUGUUCUGUUUUGUUUACAUAUUUAUCAUAUCGUCCUUUAUUUACAACUGCGACCUGGCCAAGAUAAAACACAGCAGUUCGACACGCAAAUCAAAUCAAAUGUAUUUAUAAAGCCCUUCUUACAUCAGCUGAUAUCUCAAAGUGCUGUACAGAAACCCAGCCUAAAACCGCAAACAGCAUGUAAUGCAGGUGUAGAAGCACGGUGGCUAUGAAAAAC